rnacentral:rRNA from 1 species
UACGAAGGGGGCUAGCGUUGUUCGGAAUUACUGGGCGUAAAGCGCGCGCAGGCGGUCCUACAAGUCAGAGGUGAAAGCCCAGGGCUCAACCCUGGAACUGCCUUUGAAACUGUAGGACUUGGGUAUGGGAGAGGUGAGCGGAAUUCCGAGUGUAGAGGUGAAAUUCGUAGAUAUUCGGAAGAACACCAGUGGCGAAGGCGGCUCACUGGCCCAUUACCGACGCUCAGGCGCGACAGCGUGGGGAGCAAACAGG